rnacentral:rRNA from 1 species
AGUGAACGCUGGCGGUAGGCCUAACACAUGCAAGUCGAACGGCAGCACAGUAAGAGCUUGCUCUUACGGGUGGCGAGUGGCGGACGGGUGAGGAAUACAUCGGAAUCUACUUUUUCGUGGGGGAUAACGUAGGGAAACUUACGCUAAUACCACAUACGACCUACGGGUGAAAGCAGGGGAUCUUCGGACCUUGCGCGAUUGAAUGAGCCGAUGUCGGAUUAGCUAGUUGGCGGGGUAAAGGCCCACCAAGGCGACGAUCCGUAGCUGGUCUGAGAGGAUGAUCAGCCACACUGGAACUGAGACACGGUCCAGACUCCUACGGGAGGCAGCAGUGGGGAAUAUUGGACAAUGGGCGCAAGCCUGAUCCAGCCAUACCGCGUGGGUGAAGAAGGCCUUCGGGUUGUAAAGCCCUUUUGUUGGGAAAGAAAAGCAGCAGGUUAAUACCCCGCUGUUCUGACGGUACCCAAAGAAUAAGCACCGGCUAACUUCG